GAGUUUGAUCCUGGCUCAGGAUGAACGCUGGCGGCGUGCUUAACACAUGCAAGUCGAGCGAAGCAUAAAAACAGAUUUCUUCGGAAUGAAAUUUUUAUGACUGAGCGGCGGACGGGUGAGUAACGCGUGGGUGACCUGCCUCAUACAGGGGGAUAACAGACAGAAAUGUCUGCUAAUACCGCAUAAGCGCACAGUGCUGCAUGGCACAGUGUGAAAAACUCCGGUGGUAUGAGAUGGACCCGCGUCUGAUUAGCUAGUUGGUAAGGUAACGGCUUACCAAGGCGACGAUCAGUAGCCGGCCUGAGAGGGUGAACGGCCACAUUGGGACUGAGACACGGCCCAAACUCCUACGGGAGGCAGCAGUGGGGAAUAUUGCACAAUGGGGGAAACCCUGAUGCAGCGACGCCGCGUGAAGGAAGAAGUAUUUCGGUAUGUAAACUUCUAUCAGCAGGGAAGAAAAUGACGGUACCUGACUAAGAAGCCCCG
rnacentral:rRNA from 1 species